GACGAACGCUGGCGGCGUGCUUAACACAUGCAAGUCGAACGGAAAGGCCCUGCUUUUGUGGGGUGCUCGAGUGGCGAACGGGGGAGUAACACGUGAGUAUCCUGCCCUUGACUUUGGGAUAACUUCAGGAAACUGGGGCUAAUACCGGAUAGGAUCUCCUGCUGCAUGGUGGUGGAUGGAAAGUUUCGGCGGUUGGGGAUGGACUCGCGGCUUAUCAGCUUGAUGGUGGGGUAGUGGCUUACCAAGCCUUAGACGGGUAGCCGGCCUGAGAGGUUGACCGGCGACAUUGGGACUGAGAGACGGCCCAGAAGCCUACGGGAGGCAGCAGGGGAGAAUAUUGCACAAUGGGCGGAAGCCUGAUGCAGCAACGCCGCGUGCGGGAUGACGGCCUUCGGGUUGUAAACCGCUUUCGCCUGUGACGAAGCGUGAGUGACGGUAAUGGGUAAAGAAGCACCGGCUAACUACGUG
rnacentral:rRNA from 1 species